rnacentral:rRNA from 1 species
GACGAACGCUGGCGGCGCGCUUAACACAUGCAAGUCGAACGGAAAGGCCUGCUUUCCCUUGUGGAUUGCGGGUACUCGAGUGGCGAACGGGUGAGUAACACGUGAGUGAUCUGCCCCCAACUUGGGUAUAAGCCUGGGAAACUGGGUCUAAUUCCCGAUAGGACUGCAGGGUGGUUCCUGUGGUGGAAAACGAUUUUCUAGUGGUUGGGGAUGAGCUCGCGGCCUAUCAGCUUGUUGGUGGGGUAAUGGCCUACCAAGGCGGCGACGGGUAGCCGGCCUGAGAGGGUGGACGGCAACAUUGGGACUGAGAUACGGCCCAGACUCCUACGGGAGGCAGCAGUGGGGAAUAUUGCACAAUGGGCGGAAGCCUGAUGCAGCGACGCCGCGUGGGGGAUGACGGCCUUCGGGUUGUAAACUCCUUUCGACCGCGAGGAAGCCACCUGGUUGGAAGGGUGGUGACGGUAGUGGUAGAAGAAGCACCGGCUAACUACGUG